UACGUAGGUGGCAAACGUUGUCCGGAUUUAUUGGGCGUAAAGCGAGCGCAGGCGGUUUUUUAAGUCUGAUGUGAAAGCCUUCGGCUUAACCGGAGAAGUGCAUCGGAAACUGAGAAACUUGAGUGCAGAAGAGGACAGUGGAACUCCAUGUGUAGCGGUGAAAUGCGUAGAUAUAUGGAAGAACACCAGUGGCGAAGGCGGCUGUCUGGUCUGUAACUGACGCUGAGGCUCGAAAGCAUGGGUAGCAAACAGG
rnacentral:rRNA from 1 species